GCGGGAUUAGUUGAUCGGUCCAACAGCUCCCUUCCAAGGAGCAAAAAGGGGUUCGACUCCCCUAUCCCGCUCAA
rnacentral:tRNA from 2 species